rnacentral:rRNA from 1 species
AGAGUUUGAUCAUGGCUCAGAACGAACGCUGGCGGCGUGGAUUAGGCAUGCAAGUCGAACGGAACUACUAGCAUUUUUGGAGUUUAGUGGCGAAAGGGUGAGGAACACGUGGGUAAUUUGCCUUAGAGUUUGGGAUAACCAACCGAAAGGUUGGCUAAUACCGGAUACGUUUUAUAAUCUUCGGAUUAUAAAGGAAAGGUGGGGACUUCUUCGGAAGCCUGCCGCUCUUAGAUAAGCCCGCGUCCUAUCAGCUUGUUGGUGAGGUAAAGGCUCACCAAGGCUAAGACGGGUAGCUGGUCUGAGAGGAUGGUCAGCCACACUGGGACUGAGACACUGCCCAGACAUCUACGGAUGGCUGCAGUCGAGAAUCUUUCGCAAUGGGGGAAACCCUGACGAAGCGACGCCGCGUGCAGGACGAAGGCCUUCGGGUUGUAAACUGCUGUCAGCUGGGAAGAAAAGCCAUUGGUUAAUAACCAGAGGUCUUGACGGUACCAGCAGAGGAAGCCACGGCUAACUCUGUGCCAGCAGCCGCGGUAAUACAGAGGUGGCAAGCGUUGUUCGGAUUUAUUGGGCGUAAAGGGUUCGUAGGCGGUUUGGAAAGUCGGAUGUGAAAUCCCACAGCUUAACUGUGGAACUGCAUUCGAAACUUCCGGACUUGAGUGUGAGAGGGGUAAAGAGAAUUCCGAGUGUAAGGGUGAAAUCUGCAGAUAUUCGGAGGAAUACCAGUCGCGAAGGC